rnacentral:lncRNA from 1 species
GAAAAUAAACAGUCAGUGACCUAAGCAGGGUUUCGCUUUCUUUUCCAUCCCCCCAAAGCCCACAUGUCCAGGGGGCCGUGUUUCUUUUCCGACGCACAUGGAGUAUAUAUACCAAGAUACAGGGGGUAGGGCCACAUUUUUGUUAUUUUUUUUUCCCCCCGCACAUGUAAGAAUUUAUUUUUUUCCAACAGGGUUUUUUUUUUUUUUAAUUUUUUUUUUAAUUUGGUAAUAACAAAACUGUGCGCAACCGCUACCUUUUUCUCUUGCCAGAAAGUCCUGAAACAGAUAGCAACUGCCCUGAAUCAAAUAGUUCUCCCUCAAUUAGUAAGUUGCUGCUGUGUGUUUGAUGCCAUUGAUUAGUACUGCAGCCGAUGGUUUCAGAACCCCGGAGGAGUAUCAAGGAGGUAUUCUAAAGGGAGCCUCUCAAGUUUCAAAACCAGAAGUUACUGGAACUCUGGGCUUUCCUCCUUUGAGGCCACUUUUGCUACCAUCCCGGAAUUACUGGCGAGAGAUAUUCAUUGGCGGCCACUUGCCAGGAUGCAGGAAGACGUUAGAAAUCCCAGGAUGCUCUGGUGAUCCUUCUGGACUAGAGACCCCCAGUUUUCAACAGAAAACAGGCCAGGAUGUCUGAGUGGGUGAGAGACUGCACAGAGAAGAGACAAGACUGCCACCUCCUCUGCAAACCUCACAGAAAUGACUCCACUGUCGUCAGGAUUUCCUGGAGGGCCACCUUUGCACAUAUGUUUGAGAAGGUGAGUGGACGUUUUUUGCAGUGUGGUAUGUGGAAAGCCAAAAGGGAAAGCUUUCAGCCCUGUAGUCGCAGGGAAUUUUCACCCUCUUAGAAGCACUGAGAACCCCUCAAAAAGCUUAUAUUUUGUAUGAAGAUAUUUGCCAUCUUAGACAUUAAAAAUAAAAAAAUAUUAAAAUGUGAUGCA